CUGAGAUUAUACACAUACACUGUCCUAUGUUAGGGGAGAGUUUUGUGCCAGUUAAGAUGUUUAAGCCGCCACAUUCUGUAUGCACCUGUCCAUAGUGAGGACCCACUAAUGUGGUGAUUGUUGCUAUAUAUCAUAUUUAUUUUUCAUAAUUGUUUUGUACAUUUUUGUUAAAUUUUAAUUUCUUGUGUAUACUUCUGAUUUUAGUGUAUGUCCAAGUUAUUGUAAAUGCUCUUUUGUUCCCACGUUGGAAAGUUCCGAGCGGAAAGAACUCACUAGCCGAAAAGUUCCAGAGGAACUUAUUAUUAUGUGUUACUUUGUUCUUCCUCUGAUUUAAAAGUUCCACGGGAACAAAGUGACUAGUUGAAAUAGUAUACAUUUUCGUUAUAAAUAAUUAUGUAAAGGGGCCAGCAAAAGCAAUCCUUUGGGUGUAGAAGUUUCUCCGUGUAACCUUCGACUGUUGUCUGCUCUUAGAUCAGGUUAUUGUCUAUAUGACACAUUCCCCAUUUUCAUUCUCAAUUUUAUUAGGCACUGGCUACGGUUACAUGGAAAUGUAACAACAAUAAAAAUAUUAUUAUAGACUAUUAUUAGUCUAAAUUGAAAACAAGGCUCAAAUCAAUGAUUGCAUUGGAAUCUUUAGAAUAUAUAUACUUGUUUCCAUUUGCAAAAAGAGGUAAGCACAAAAAAUGGCAAUAGUUUUUUUUAGUUUUUUAAAAUUCUUUAUCGACUCCAUGAAUUCCUUUUUCAAUUGAGGAAUCAUAGUUAACUGACAUCAACAAGACUUCAAUUCACACAAACAUGUUCUAGAUUCCCUCUUUCUGUUUACAUGUUGUUAUUUUUGCAAAAUGGUCCCUGUCAACAUUGUCAGAUACUUUUAAUAAGUGUCACUAUACAUGCUAUAUGUUGUUUAAUCUGAUGAAACUUUCUAUAAGUGUACAUCUAUCUUUCUCUACCAAUAUGUCUAAUGGUCUAGAGUAAGUAAUUGUAGCCAGGUCUUUCUCAUUAUCCAGGUCUUCACUAUAUCUCAGCUUUCUGUGAUGGGAUCUGUUCAUUUCUAGUAAUGUGAAUAAAACCUG
rnacentral:lncRNA from 1 species